GGGUGGUUGGCGCAAUGGUAGCGCGUUGGUUUUCGGUUCCAGAAAGAUCACCAAAGGUUGAGGGUUCGAGCCCCUUGCUGCUCG
rnacentral:tRNA from 1 species